rnacentral:sRNA from 1 species
UUUCAAGCAGCAGAACCUAGAGCUUGUGGUCAUUUGGUAUCGAAUAACUUGUGGAAAAUACCUUCUUGCCUGAAACUUUGAUUGUGUAAUGCGGAGUUUAAAAAAAGCAGGAUACUGUCGACUAAACUGGCUUAUCACCUUGCCGCCAUCAUUGGAGUGCAGGGAAAUUACUUUCAAUUAUUGGACUGGCUAUCGCAAGGACCCGCUUACGACCCAGGCAGAUGUUUUCAAUCCUCCGGACAGAGGCGUCAGGCAAGCGAGCCGAAAACCUGUAUGGAAUGCAGCUCCAUCAAGCAUCGACCUGAUCUUCCUUGGGCUAACGAACUGAGGCGCAGACCGAUGAGCGCGCCAAAUCGAGGACGACGCCUGUAAUAACAUGAAAAGGACACCCAGACCCAUAAAUACAUGUAUAGUAUCUACCAAGACGUCGACGAUCCCUUUUGAGGACGACAGAUGUUUUCGCAUUCCGAAGCAGGUCAAUGCCUGCCGUCUUUAAGGAUUCGAUGCGUUGGUCCUGGCUCGCAGCUUCUUAGCAAAUAGGAAAGGUAUCUCGAAGAUACAACGAUGCCGGGCGGCAGCUGGCACACUUGAGCGCGGCCUGUUUAUAAAUCGAUCUACUGCUCCUGGACGAGAACCCCACGCCAUCCCGAAAGUAUCUCGGAUUACACACCGCGCACUUAUAGAUACAUAUACACAGUAGGCAGUCGCCGACGCGCUCCCCUAAAAUGUUUAUAAAUUAUUUUUCCCUUUGAUGGGCUUGCCAAAAGAUUUUAUUAUGAAAAGUAAAUCAACUCGGAACGCCUGGAAA